GCCUGCGGCCAUGCUUCCCUGAGCAAGCCUGAUCCAGUCUGAUCUCGGAAGCUAAGCAGGGUUGAGCCUGGUUAGUACUUGGAUGGGGACCACCUAGGAAGACCAGGUACUGUAGGUG
ensembl:rRNA 5S_rRNA 5S ribosomal RNA